rnacentral:rRNA from 1 species
ACUCCUACGGGAGGCAGCAGUGGGGAAUAUUGCACAAUGGGCGCAAGCCUGAUGCAGCCAUGCCGCGUGUGUGAAGAAGGCCUUCGGGUUGUAAAGCACUUUCAGUUGUGAGGAAGGUGGUGUCGUUAAUAGCGGCAUCAUUUGACGUUAGCAACAGAAGAAGCACCGGCUAACUCCGUGCCAGCAGCCGCGGUAAUACGGAGGGUGCGAGCGUUAAUCGGAAUUACUGGGCGUAAAGCGCAUGCAGGUGGUUUGUUAAGUCAGAUGUGAAAGCCCGGGGCUCAACCUCGGAACUGCAUUUGAAACUGGCAGACUAGAGUACUGUAGAGGGGGGUAGAAUUUCAGGUGUAGCGGUGAAAUGCGUAGAGAUCUGAAGGAAUACCAGUGGCGAAGGCGGCCCCCUGGACAAAGACUGACGCUCAGAUGCGAAAGCGUGGGGAGCAAACAGGAUUAGAUACCCUGUAGCACAGAG